AACCAGGUGAGCAUUUUGGUGAGAGGUAUUCAGAUAGGACCAAGGUCAGAAGGAAGAGGAAGAAGCUUCACGUGCCACAUUGCCACAAUUUCCACACGUAGACUGAAAUUUUGGCACUGAGAACUGAUGUAGUUUGUUAAGGAAAGUAUUUGCUCAUAAAGAAGUGAGAAGAUUAUUCCAGCCGUCCAAAGGUCUGAACUCGUUUUUCCGUCUUAAACAAAGCAAGACGACAAAGCAGUGCCUCAUAACAACCGUCUACGAUGAGAAUAGACGCACUCCCAGAAAAGACAUCAGAUUCGUG
rnacentral:lncRNA from 1 species